rnacentral:rRNA from 1 species
UGCAAGUCGAACGCGAAAGCGGCCUUCGGGCCGCGAGUAGAGUGGCAGACGGGUGAGUAACGCGUGGGUGACCUACCUUCGAGUGGGGGACAACUCCCCGAAAGGGGGGCUAAUACCGCAUGACAUCCUGUUCCUGGAUGGACGGUGAUCAAAGCCGGGGAUCUUCGGACCCGGCGCUUGUUGACGGACCCGCGUCCGAUUAGCUUGUUGGUGGGGUAACGGCUCACCAAGGCGACGAUCGGUAGCCGGCCUGAGAGGGCGGACGGCCACACUGGGACUGAGACACGGCCCAGACUUCUACGGGGGGCAGCAGGAAGGAAUUGUUCGCAAUGGGCGAAAGCCUGACGACGCAACGCCGCGUGGAGGACGAAGACCUUCGGGUCGUAAACUCCUGUCGAGCGGGAAGAACGGCCCGCGAACCAAUACCUCGCGGGCGUGACGGUACCGCUAAAGGAAGCCCCGGCUAACUCCGUGCCAGCAGCCGCGGUAAUACGGGGGGGGCAAGCGUUGUUCGGAUUUACUGGGCGUAAAGGGCUUGUAGGCGGCCGUACGUGUCGGUCGUGAAAUCCCCGGGCUCAACCUGGGAACUGCAAUCGAAACUGGACGGCUAGAAGCCGGGAGAGGGAUGCGGAAUUCCAGGUGUAGCGGUGAAAUGCGUAGAUAUCUGGAGGAACACCCGUGGCGAAGGCGGCAUCCUGGACCGGUCUUGACGCUGAGG